GGGCCUCUAGCUCAACCGGCAGAGCAGCGGACUUUUAAUCCGCGGGUUGUGGGUUCGAUCCCCACGGGGCCCACCA
rnacentral:tRNA from 3 species